rnacentral:rRNA from 1 species
UACGUAGGGUGCAAGCGUUGUCCGGAAUUAUUGGGCGUAAAGAGCGUGUAGGCGGCCUGAAAGGUCAGCUGUGAAAACUCGAGGCUCAACCUCGAGACGUCGGUUGAAACCAUCUGGCUAGAGUCCGGAAGAGGAGUGUGGAAUUCCCGGUGUAGCGGUGAAAUGCGCAGAUAUCGGGGAAGAACACCCGUGGCGAAGGCGGCACUCUGGGACGGUACUGACGCUGAGACGCGAAAGCGUGGGGAGCGAACAGGG